UAAGCACCAGAGGAAAUUAAUGAAUGGGAAUCCUGUUUCUCCUCCAGGUCUCCAAGAUGGAAAAGGUAUUCAACAGGAAGAGUGGACAAUCUGAAUUAAAUGGGCUAAAGCAUAUUAGAGGGGAAAUCCGUGAAACAUUCUUUUUUAUCUGUGGAAUGCUGUCUGUUGUUCCACCUGCUAAGAUCUCCUGUUGAAAAAAACAGUAUGUUCCCAUGUGAUAGUACAAGUCAUCCCAACAACUUAAUCCAUGAACGUCAUCAGAUGUCUACAAAUUCAGUCUAGUAUUUGGCACAGUAUUGGCUCAAUUGACUCCGUUGGCAGCUGUAUAACCUCAACUCUAACUCCCUUUUCCUUCUUCAGUUCAUUAUCCAAGGGAAGCAAAAUGUUAUUCCAAUAAUGUUUAAAUCAAACGUAUUUAACAUAUUUUAAAACAUAUUUAACCCUGGUUUCCAUUUCUAAAACUUAUUUUUCUUAAUAAUGUCCACAAUAUAUGGUAAAAGAAUUAGCAGUCCUAUGUAAUUCAGCCAUAAUUAUGUUUCUUUUUUAAUGAUUCAUUCUACCUUGUAAUGUUUUAGCAUGGAUAGUAUAGCUUUUUAUUUUUCAAUGUGAUUAGUUCUCCCCACUUGAAGGUCUUCCACCCAUGUUAGUGGGCUUACCUGAAUAAUGUUCUCCAAUCUCUAUCACAUGGUUAAUUACAACUUAUCUAAACAUUUUAAUCCUCAUUGUAGGCAUCUUCCCUUUAGGAGACUCUUUCAUGGUUUUCAAUUCUAAAUAGUUCUCACUCAUUCAAAUGAUACCCUCUCUCACUUUCCUGCUAUAAAAUAAGAAAUAGUAAUUUUGCAUUUUAUGGCUGUCAUCCUAUUCUAUAAAAUCUAAUAAGGGUCAAAAUGUCACAUAAUUCCCAUACACUCAUCACUGAGCUUCAGAAGUUGCCAAUGUGUGAAAAAUUUAUCUUCUCUAUAUCUCUACUCAUCUUUCAUUCACUUGAACAAUGUUUUAAACUUAUACAUUUUAAUAUGAGUCCUUAAAUAAUGAGAUUAUUUAUUUCUAAAUGAUUAUUUUUAUACCUAAAAUUACAGUAUUUUCACAUUUUAUUUACUAGUAUUUUAUAUUACCACACAAUACUUAUUGCUUAUUUCUGUUUGCCUUCCC
rnacentral:lncRNA from 1 species